UCAAGAGGCGGGUUUUUCUUUUUCAUACCUAACUCUCAUCUAACAUUCCUGAUAUUGAAGCAGGUGUUUUAGAAGAGAAAAUAGUCCAGGUGAGUUAUACUUCGUCAAGCGAUGGUGUGAUAAAAAGUAGACAUCAGCGUGUGAUUUCUGGAUUUGGUUACGAUAGAACACAGACGCAAAUGUGAUUCCUGCGAAGAAAAAUAACCUUGUUAGAAGAGAGCAUGGCCUGAAGAAAUGACACAACGAUUAGCAGUUGGAGCUGGCUUCAUCUUCUGUUUUGUUGUGGCUUUGCUCAUGAUCAUUAUGUAUUAUCCCAGAGAUGCAUAUGAGGAAGAAUUUGAUACCUUCAGUGCAGCGAGGUUGCUACCAAAUUCAACUAGGAUACAGGAAGAUUACAUCGAAAACUCAGAAUCAAAAUACACAUUUGCAAACGUAGCCAAAAUCAUGGAAAACUUUGGAGCAGCUUUUUUGGCAUUGGGCGCAGUCAUUUGUGUAGCUGUAGGACUGGCCUGCAUAUUUUGUGCAUGCUGCGUUGUAUAAAAUUAUACUGUAAACUUAAGAGCCUGUUUUUCUUUAACAACUUAAUUGUAACAUACUCAUGAGCAACUAUUAUGUGAAAUACAUUAUGAUGGAGAAAGCUAUUUUAUGUCAUUUUUUGUACUUUUUAUAAUGUGUGUUUAUAUAUGUUAAAUAGGUAUUAAUUAAAGCUAUUGGUUUUGUUAAGAA